UACGUAGGGGGCAAGCGUUGUCCGGAAUCAUUGGGCGUAAAGAGCGUGUAGGCGGCUCGGUAAGUCUGCUGUGAAAGUCCAGGGCUCAACCCUGGAAUGCCGGUGGAAACUGUCGGGCUCGAGUCCGGAAGAGGCGAGUGGAAUUCCUGGUGUAGCGGUGAAAUGCGCAGAUAUCAGGAGGAACACCAAUGGCGAAGGCAGCUCGCUGGACGGUACUGACGCUGAGACGCGAAGCGUGGGAGCGAACAGG
rnacentral:rRNA from 1 species